rnacentral:misc_RNA from 1 species
CGAAAUGCGAUACGUAGUGUGAAUUGCAGAAAUACGUGAACCAUCGAAUCUUUGAACGCAAAUUGCGCUCGAGGCUUCGGCCAAGAGCAUGUCUGCCUCAGCGUCGGGUUAAUACUCGCCCUAGACUCUCGAGUCAUAGAGCGGAUCUGGUUGUCCCACUUUUAGUGGGUCAACUGAAGAUGAUAGGCUGAUGCAUGGACCCGUUAAGGGCCUCAACUGGGUAGGUGCUUUUGCGCUAAUUGCUUUAGUUGAUGGCUUGGAUCCGCGCUUGUCGGCCCUAAUCAGGAAUUGAGCUUCGGCUCAACAAAACCCAUUUUCUCGACCUGAGCUCAGGCAAGAACACCCGCUGAACUUAAGC